AAUAUUGCACGAUGGGCGCAAGCCUGAUGCAGCAACGCCGCGUGAGGGACGACGGCCUUCGGGUUGUAAACCUCUUUUAGUAGGGAAGAAGCGAAAGUGACGGUACCUGCAGAAAAAGCACCGGCUAACUACGUGCCAGCAGCCGCGGUAAUACGUAGGGUGCAAGCGUUGUCCGGAAUUAUUGGGCGUAAAGAGCUCGUAGGCGGUUUGUCGCGUCUGCUGUGAAACCCCGAGGCUCAACCUCGGGCCUGCAGUGGGUACGGGCAGACUAGAGUGCGGUAGGGGAGAUUGGAAUUCCUGGUGUAGCGGUGGAAUGCGCAGAUAUCAGGAGGAACACCAAUGGCGAAGGCAGAUCUCUGGGCCGUAACUGACGCUGAGGUGCGAAAGCGUGGGGAGCAAACA
rnacentral:rRNA from 1 species